ACCUCAAGCUGAGUGUAAACCUGUGUAC
rnacentral:piRNA from 1 species